CAGACAGCCCAUGCUGGUCUUGUUAGCAGCAGGAGCUUGUUUGAGUAUCACUAUGUUUUAAUGAAUCAGUCGGAGUCAAUUUUAAAGUUCUGUGAAAGGCUGCAUUCAGCUCUGACAUGAUUGAGAGAUGAGCUCUUCCAGUGGCGAGUUGGGUAGAAAGUAUCCAGUUGUGGGAUGUUAUCAGCCAGUCGGUAGCAUACACAUGAACAUGGAAGAAGGAUACUGGUUCCUAAAUGUAGAAAUCAACUCCACCUGGCAGUCAUCUAUUGCGUGUCUACCAUAUUCAAGAACCACCUAUAGAAUUCCACUGCCUCCUCAGGCCGUCUCGCGAGGGGUCUUGGGAUCGUCUCGCCGCGGACCGGACAGUGGGAGGCGGGAGACGCGAGGCGUGCUGCGGGGCUGGGGCCUCGGAGGGGCAGCAUAGGCCCGAAGGUUGUCACGGCUGUGAGCGACCUUUUUACGGUCUACCCCGUGACAGCCCGUGGUCCAAGUGGCUUUGCGGUGGAAACAGGAAUGCAAUGACAGUGUAGAUUUCGCAGGGCAGGACUAGCCGAGAGCAGACAAGCAUGGGACAGAGGGAAGCUGGAGCGCAGUUCCACAGCGGGAGGUCCGGGAGGGGCGGGGCUCCGUGGGCGGUGACCGCAGGCCGCGCUCGGAGGAGCUGAAGUUCUCUCGCGGGAACUGCACACCCCUCGGCGAGGCGUGCACACGGGGAUUCGAACUCAGCGGGCAGGGGUGGGGCAGGGGUGGGGCAUGUUUGUGUCAGCUGUUUUGCACGAGGUUAACACUUCCAUCCAUAAAGCUGGUUCCAUGGUGUGGUGGGGCUCCUUCAAUCAGUGGAAUGUCUGGCCAGAAUGAAAAAACUGAGUUAUUCAAUCUGCAGAGGGCAGAGGGCAAGUUCCUUUUGCCCUCUACUGUUGGUUUGAGAAAAGACUGUCCUGGCCAAGACACAGCCGGUUCCUGUGCUCCAGGAGGAAGCAGCCAUGCUCUGGGGGCAAAAUGAAACUCCUGCAUGGAGAGUGGAGGAAUCUCUCUGGACUUCUCAAGCCAGGAUAAGCUCAAAUUAAACAGACAACUUCUGAGGCAGAGACAAAAAUCCUCUACAUAUGGGUGCUUGACACUCAGAUCAAGUUCUGACAGUCGACACUUCUAGGUGUUGGCCAAGAUCCUCGUUUCAAGACUGAGAGAGAAAGCAAGCCUGGGUUCCUCGUCGUUCCAACCCCAGUUGGGAAGAGGCUCCACCAGCUCUCGUCUCAGAUCCUCUCAUGGGAUCGAACUUGGAUCCUUGCACUUGCGCAGCAAGCGGCGAAACCACUGAGCUAACCGGACCUAAACAACUACAAAAUUCUUGACGCACAACUUUUAACAUCGCUAAUAAAGUACACCUAGUCCUAAAAAAAUGUUGAACAGGGCAAUAUACAUGCAUAAAACAUUUGCCUCUAGUCAGAAAUAAAUGUGCAGGUCUUAUAUUUACAAAACA